rnacentral:rRNA from 1 species
GAUGAACGCUGGCGGCGUGCCUAAUACAUGCAAGUCGAGCGGACCUCUUCGGAGGUCAGCGGCGGACGGGUGAGUAACACGUGGGCAACCUGCCUGUAAGACUGGGAUAACUCCGGGAAACCGGAGCUAAUACCGGAUACUAUGUCAAACCGCAUGGUUUGACAUUCAAAGACGGUUUCGGCUGUCACUUACAGAUUGGCCCGCGGCGCAUUAGCUAGUUGGUGAGGUAACGGCUCACCAAGGCGACGAUGCGUAGCCGACCUGAGAGGGUGAUCGGCCACACUGGGACUGAGACACGGCCCAGACUCCUACGGGAGGCAGCAGUAGGGAAUCUUCCGCAAUGGACGAAAGUCUGACGGAGCAACGCCGCGUGAGUGAUGAAGGUUUUCGGAUCGUAAAACUCUGUUGUCAGGGAAGAACAAGUGCCGGAGUAACUGCCGGCGCCUUGACGGUACCUGACCAGAAAGCCACGGCUAACUACGUGCCAGCCGCCGCCGAA